AGAAGUAAGUAAGAGCGCAUGGGGAAUGCCUAGGCUCUCGAAGGCGAAGAAGGACGUGAUAAGCUGCGAAAAGUUGCGGGGAUCCGCCAAUAGGAAUUGAUCCGCAAAUGUCCGAAUGGGGCAACCCCUUUGGUUGAAGACCAAAGACUCCAAGUAAUUGGAGGGCGAACCCGGGGAACUGAAACAUCUAAGUACCCGGAGGAAGAGAAAACAAUAGUGAUUGCGCAAGUAGUGGCGAGCGAAAGCGCAAGAGCCCAAACCCUUUCCGUUAAGGCGGACAGGGGGUUAUAGGACUGCAUAAUCGAAACCAAAGACGACAUGAAGCGGUUGGGAAACCGCGCCAUAGAGGGUGAAAGCCCCGUAAAGGAAGUCAGAGGGGAGAGGCAGUAUCCUGAGUAGGGCGGGGUCGGAGACGCCCCGUUUGAAUUUGCCGGCACCAUCCGGUAAGGCUAAAUACUCACGAGAGACCGAUAGUGAACCAGUACUGUGAAGGAAAGGUGAAAAGUACUCCAAAUAGGAGGGUGAAAUAGUACCUGAAACCGUGCGCUUACAAGCGGUCGGAGCUUCGCAAUGAAGUGACGGCGUGCCUUUUGCAUAAUGAGCCUACGAGUUACUUUCACUGGCAAGGUUAACCCCGAUUAACGGGGGCAGCCGGAGCGAAAGCGAGUCUGAAUAGGGCGUACAGUCAGUGGGAGUAGACGCGAAACUUUGUGAUCUACCCUUGGUCAGGAUGAAGUGGCGGUAAAACGCCAUGGAGGUCCGAACCAGUAAACGUUGAAAAGUUUUUGGAUGAACUGAGGGUAGGGGUGAAAGGCUAAUCAAACUGAGAAAUAGCUCGUACUCCCCGAAAUGUUUUUAGGAACAGUGUGAGGGUUGAGUUUGGCACAGGUAGAGCUACCAAUUGGACUAGGGGGAGUCAAAUCCUGCCAAAUCCAGAUGAACUCCGAAUGGUGCCAAAUAUACCUUGCAAUGAGGGCAUGGGUGCUAAGGUCCGUGUCCGAGAGGGAAAGAACCCAGACCUACAGCUAAGGUCCCUAAAUCUAUAUUAAGUUGAACUAAGGCGGUUCAGUUGCCGUGACAGCCAGGAGGUUAGCUUGGAAGCAGCUAUUCCUUUAAAGAGUGCGUAACAGCUCACUGGUCGAGCGACAGAGCAUCGAUAAUAAUCGGGCAUAAAUAUAGUACCGAAGCUUAGGAUUGUAGCAAUACAGUGGUAGGGGAGCAUUCUAACCGCGGCGAAGCCAAGAGAUAACUUGAGGUGGAGCAGUUAGAAAAGCAAAUGUAGGCAUAAGUAACGAUAAGGCCGAUGAGAAAUCGGCCCACCGAAAGACUAAGGUUUCCGCGGCAAUGUUAAUCAACCGCGGGUCAGUCGGGACCUAAGGCGUAGCCGAAAGGCGAAGUCGAUGGACAACCGGUUAAUAUUCCGGUACUGACGUUUCAAGCGAUGCGGUGAAGAAGGAGUGAAAGUUCCGCCCGGUAACGAUAUCCGGGUUGAAGGGCGUAGAUAGAUAUUUUGCAGGUAAGUCCGCAAGAUAUGUCAAAACCCGAUAGUACCAGGAGGCUUCGGCCGAAUGGAUAGCGAACCUAAUCAGACUUCCAAGAAAACCCGCUAAGCAUAUUGAGAUGCCACCCGUACCGCAAACCGACACAGGUAGUUGAGUGGAAUACACUAAGGUGCUCGAGUGAAUCAUGGCUAAGGAACUCGGCAAAUUAAUCCUGUAACUUCGGGAGAAGGGAUGCCUAAUUUUUAGCAAUAAAGAAAGGUCGCAGAGAAAUGGCCCAGGCGACUGUUUAACAAAAACACAUGGCUUUGCGAAAUCGUAAGAUGAAGUAUAAGGCCUGACACCUGCCCGGUGCUGGAAGGUUAAGGGGGGGAGUUAGCCGCAAGGCGAAGCUCUGAACUGAAGCCCCAGUAAACGGCGGCCGUAACUAUAACGGUCCUAAGGUAGCGAAAUUCCUUGUCGGGUAAGUUCCGACCUGCACGAAUGGUGUAACGAUCUGGGCGCUGUCUCAGCCAUGAGCUCGGUGAAAUUGUAGUCACGGUGAAGAUGCCGUGUACCCGUCACGGGACGGAAAGACCCCAUGAACCUUUACUAUAGCUUCACAUUGGUAUUGGGAAGAUGAUGUGUAGAAUAGGCGGGAGGCUUUGAUCCUGCGGCGCCAGCCGUUGGGGAGUCAACAGUGAAAUACCGCCCUUUAUGUUUUCGAUGCCUAACCCUAUUCGUAGGGGACAUUGUGUGGUGGGUAGUUUGACUGGGGUGGUCGCCUCCGAAAGCGUAUCGGAGGCUUUCAAAGGUAUGCUCAGUACGGUUGGUAACCGUACGGGGAGUGCAAUAGCACAAGCAUGCUUGACUGUGAGACCGACGGGUCGAGCAGACGCGAAAGCGGGAUAUAGUGAUCCGGUGGUUCUGCAUGGAAGGGCCAUCGCUCAAAGGAUAAAAGGUACUCUGGGGAUAACAGGCUGAUCUCCCCCAAGAGCUCAUAUCGACGGGGAGGUUUGGCACCUCGAUGUCGGCUCGUCACAUCCUGGGGCUGGAGAAGGUCCCAAGGGUUGGGCUGUUCGCCCAUUAAAGUGGCACGCGAGCUGGGUUCAGAACGUCGUGAGACAGUUCGGUCCCUAUCUGUGAUGGGCGUAGGAAAUUUGAAAGGAUCUGACCUUAGUACGAGAGGACCGGGUUGGACUAACCGCUGGUGAACCGGUUGUCAUGUCAGUGGCACGGCCGGGUAGCUAUGUUGGGAAGGGAUAAGCGCUGAAAGCAUCUAAGCGCGAAACCCACCUUAAGAUGAGAUUUCCUUUAAGGGACGUCAGAGACUAUGACGUGGAUAGGCGGCAGGUGUAAAGGUAGAAAUGCCAAAGCUGAGCCGUACUAAUUACCCGAACGCUUCUGUAAG
rnacentral:rRNA from 1 species